CAAAAACAUGUCCUUUUGUGUGUUAUUUAAGGUUUGACCUGCCCAAUGAGGAGUUUAAUGGCCGCGGUAUUUUAACUGUGCUAAGGUAGCAUAAUCAUUUGUCUUUUAAUUGGAGGCUGGAAUGAAUGGUUGGACGAAGCAUUUACUUUCUUUAAUUCAUAGAAUGAAUUUAAUUUUUUAGUUAAAAAGCUAAAAUUCUUUUAAGGGACGAGAAGACCCUAUAGAUCUUCAUAUUUAGGAAAGUUAUAUAUUUUAGUUAUUGGUAUAUUUUAAUUUUUUCAUGUAUUGGGUUGGGGCGACUGGGGAAUUUCGUUAACUUCUCUUUGUUUAUUCAUUAAUUGAUGUAUCUAUGAUCCAACUAUUGUUGAUUAAAAGUUUAAGUUACCUUAGGGAUAACAGCGUAAUUUUUUCGGAGAGUUCAUAUCGAUGAUAAAGUUUGCGACCUCGAUGUUGGAUUAAAAUAAGUAAUAGGUGUAGCAGUCUAUUAACUAGGUCUGUUCGACCUUUAAAUUUUUACAUGAUCUGAGUUCA
rnacentral:rRNA from 1 species